rnacentral:lncRNA from 1 species
AUCAUACACCAACCAAAUCAACCUAAGAAAAUAAGCAUUUCUGUGAAUCAAUUACGGGCUAAGGAUGCAUUAGGAGUUCGAAUUAGAGUGGUACCUUCCGCGCCGCGACUUGGCGAGAGGGAAAAUCAUAGGUAGGAUUAGCGUAGGUAUUAUCAAGGUAAAGAACAUCAACCCCAUCUUCACCACCAAGAGCAGCACGAAGCACCUGUUUAGCCAUCCUGGCUCUCUCGCAACCAACCUCCCAGCGAAAAUCACCAGUGUGAAGCACGCAACCAAACUCGCCGCGAAACAGCAGCAUAACGGAACCUAAUCAAUCAAUAACAAACUAACUAACUAACGGAUCGUAACAAACUAAUCGGCGAACCGUAACUAACUAACUAACUAACUAACUAACUGACCGGGGCAGUGGCAGGCGUCGAUGGCGGUGACGAAGACGGUGGUGGUGGAGGAGGAGGAAGGGGAGCGGAGGGAGAGGGUGUGGGUGGUGCCGACGUGGAGGAUGCGGAGGAGGGAGAGGUCGAAGUCGGGGAACUUGAAGGGGAGGAGUUUGGCGGUGGUCGGGGAGCAGAAGAGGAGGCCAUGGGACCAGGAGGAAGAGAGGCCUUUGGUGUGAUCGGAGUGGAGGUGGGUGAGGAAGUAGGCUUGGCUUCCGGAUGCCCAGCGAUCCACAGAGACCAAACCCUUCUCCAUUUUCUGAUGGUGGUUGUUUAGCGGCGGUGGGGGAGAGGGGGGAAAGAGAGGGAGGGGAGGGGUGGGGUGGGAUUUUUUUUUUUCACUCUCUGCGGGACUUGAAAUUUGAGAAAGUGAUUCGCGCACAACCUCAUCUGCUUCCCAGGGUUUGGGAAAUCCGGUGGGUCAGUGUAAAAGUGAAUGGAGAAGAGAUUAUCAAUGGGGAAAUAAAGAAGGACAAUUUGGAGUUCAGUGUGUAAAAUAAAUUAAAAUUUAUAUAAUUGUUUUGAAAAUGUAUUAUUUAGGUUAAUUAUUUUAUGUCUAAAACUUGUUUAUUUAAAAAAAAAAAAAUUCAGAUAAAUCUUUCUUCCAAAGUUUAUACAAACGGUUCUUCGAGCGAGUGAUUAUGGGCAAAAGUAAGGUGAUGAACAUGGUGUCAUAGUGUAAAUUUACGACAUAUGAGAUAUCUUCAAAAGACAUUUUAGCGCUCAAAAUAAAAGAGAAUUUCAAAGUCUGGAAAAGCAAUAAGAGAGAAACAUGAGUUGUUUCUAUAGCUUAUACGCAAUCAAACAUUUAUAACAGUCAUCUAAUCAACUGUGUUGAAAGUUUACUUUUUACUAUCUGAUUAAUGAUCGAGCUCAAUGACCCCCUAAUGUGAUCCAGAUAACCGACCAUACUUAGUAAGGCGUUUCUUUGUUGUUCUUUGUAACAUUAAUACCCAUUCAUCAAUCAACAAUAAUAGCAAAUGAGUAACUUAUAUGCUAAGAUUAAUGCAGCUAAUUUAGGUGUAUUGUCUAAUCUCCGGUUCACCCCCACUGAUUCACACAAAUAUAGUCAAAUGACAGUUUAGUUCAUACAAGCUUCUUGGCACUGGUUCCUCCAACCUCAAACGAUACAUUACAUGAGAUUCUCUAACUUACCACAUGUGGUAGUAUCACAUAACCACAUCCUAGAUGGAUUAAUGUGUAAGAGGAUAAAUGUGUUGGAAAUUAAAUCCACUUCCAUAUUCAAUUUUUUAUAAACAAUAUUUUUAGCGAAACAAGCCUUACAUAGUUAUACUACACAAUUAAAUACAUCAAUAAAAAUAAGGAACAACUUAUUGUAACUUUGUCUUCAGGACUGGGUACUAGAGGAGCUGUUUCUUUUGGAAUGAGAAGAGUGUGUUGAGACAUUGCUCUUCACCUGCUGUGAACUCUUGGUAGAGACCGCAGGAUCUGAAUAAGUGAAGAAAACUACAUGCUCCUGGUUGUCAACCAAUGCUUGGAGUGUUCUUGGAAUUGGAGGCAAAGUCACAUCCAAAACCCCCUCAAGGAACUGAACAACCUGCCCCAUGGAAGGCCUGUGAGCUUCAUCAUCUUGAACACACCAUAUAGCAACUUUGAUGACUCUAGUAACCUCUUCAAUGCUGGCCUCUCCCUCCAACCUUGGAUCCACUAGUGUGAGCACAUUCCCUCCUUGGUGCACUGUGUUUGCAGCAAAAGUGGGAAAGAACUUAACUUGGCCAUCUUCAGAAGGAUCAGAGUUUCUCGUGCCAGACACAAGCUCAAAAAGCAUCAUACCAUAACUGUAUACAUCAGCUUUUGCAGUGAUAGCCACACCAGAGAUCCACUCUGGUGCAAGAUAGCCUAUUGUUCCUCUCAUGGUAGUGAGUACCCGGCUGAAGUCCCUUCCCACAAGCUUUGCAAGGCCAAAAUCUGCUACCUUUGGACAAAAAUCUGCAUCCAAAAGAAUGUUCUCUGGCUUCACAUCACAGUGUAUGAUACAGUCCCUGCAUUUCUCAUGAAGAUAAGCCAAUCCCCUUGCUGUUCCAAGAGAAAUUUGGUACCUCACUUUCCAACCCAACAUCACUUUGGAGUUUUCCUUCUUCUCCUGAAACAGGCAUGAAUCCAAGGAAGUGUUUGGCAUGUAAUCAUAAACCAGAAGUUUCUUAGCUCCUUCAGAACAGAACCCACGAAGCCUGACAAGGUUGACAUGUUGGACUGUCCCAAGUGUGCUCACUUCUGUUCUGAACUGCUUCUCACCUUGGCUAAUGCUUUCAAGCUUCUUUACUGCUACGACACUUGAAUCAGACAAUGUUCCUUUGAAGACAGAACCAAAACCUCCUUCUCCCAGUUUCUCUGAGAAAUUCUUUGUAGCCUGUCGCAAAUCUCUGUAAGCAAAUGCAGCCAAUGACCCCUCCAUCAUAAUUCUUGCUCCACCUCGUCUCAUUUUUCGCCUCAGCAGCACAAUUACAACAAGAGCUAGAAGAAUCGCCACAACACCACCACCAACAGCACCGAAAAUAACACCAAUGCUUAUCCCAUUGCUGCUCUUAGGAUCAUGAAACUCUGAUGCUGCAAGUUUGAGAAACAAAGUCUGUCCUGUACUAUCAUCCUGAGUAAGCUGUUGCAAAUUCAAGAGAUCCCCAUUCCAGAAUGAACAACCACUGCUGUUAAAAGCAUAAGCUUUGCAGGAACAGUUGCUAAAGCAAGUUGACUCACAUUCACCAACACUACCUGCUCCCACAAGUUCAGCAUGUUCAGGCAAAGCCAUGUUUGGCAUUGUUAAAAACAUGUCUUUUGCCCCAUUAGAGGAAUUGGAUGACUCACAUUGAAACUUUGUUGAUUUCACACACCCACCUGAGUAAUCUCCUAGAUCCCAAUCAGAUUGUGACUUUGGGUCAUAGCCAGUUACACAAUUACAAUAUGGCUGGGAUGUCUCAGUGCAGCUCGCAAAUGCACCACAAACAGCAUAAACCUCGCAUUGGCGCCUUGGCUGUGACCAGAACAAAUUCCAUUGCUGGGAAUCUUCCAGCCAAGUCAAUUCCUUGAUCUGCCCCGUGAAAUCCAUCACGAAACGAGACAGUAGGGAAGUGCCGUACACGUUGUAGGUGAAGUAGCUCUCGUUCUCAUUCGACACAAAGGUGAAAUUGUAAAAGUAUUUAAUAUUCAUCUCCGGAACCAAACUGAAAACAUUUCCAUUCCAAGGACCACUUGUCCAAUACUGUUCAGUUUUGUUCCAUAGAAUCAGAUAUGAAGUGGUUCCAUUGGGGUCCAGUUCCAGAGAGAAUUGCCCUGUUGCUGGAUCUUCAUAGUUCUUCCAUGAAGUCAGAUACUGAGGCUUCUUCGUUUUGUGGUCCAGUUUGAUUCUACCACCUGGAAGCCAUGUAUUUGUUGGAUGAUCAAAACUCUGCCACAGAGAUUCUGAUUCCGAUGCAUUAGGCUUGUUGCUUAAUAUCAGGUUCCCAUUACCUAGAAGCACAGCUUCUACAGAACCAGAGCUAGGAGAGCUCAAAUUUGUUGACCAAACUAGAUUCCAAUUCUCCAAGAGCACUAAAUUACCACGCAAUAUUGUUAACAUGGCAGAGUUCUUAUCAGAAACAGGGUCAUCUCUAUUUGCUACCCAAACAUAUGUUCUCCUAGACUGUUUUUUGUACCACAUGCCUAUGUAGUAUCUAGAGGAGUUACCUGGAUUGAAAAAACCCAGUUCAAAGUUUCCAUCUUUGGAGACAAGAGUUUGAUCACCAGAAAGAGAUCGAUUGGCUGAGAUGGUGGUCAAUGCAGCAAGGGAAGUGUAGGUGUGAAGGAAGAAGCAGGAGGUUAGAAGAGAAAGCCAGAAGAAACGUGGUUAUUCAUGUUGUUCAUGGCUUGGCUCUGCACUGCAACUGUCACAGAAACUAGGAUGUUAUAUAGAGUUUGAAAAAAUGAAUGGGAGAAAGGGUAUGACCCCGUCGUGACUAUUGUGCCCUCUUCCACAGAAAAACGUUGUACAGGUUAAGGCUAACAGGAGUUCACUGAACCUUGUUCUUAGGCAUUAUAAUUUAUAAUGGAUCCACUAUGGUUGGUGCAUACGUAUUUUUGUUAAUUUUCAGUUAUGACGUUCAUGUAAUCUUGAAUUUGUUAUAACGCAAAUGGAUUUGAGUCAUGUUGAAUAUUGAAACUAUUGUUUAUCUUGAAUUCUUGAUCCUUGAUCAACAGAAGAAUUUAUUGCUCUUGACUAAAUAUGUUUUACGGAACAUGGAAAAUAUAAAGAAAAGGUUAAUGUUUUGUUGACACUCCAAAUCAAACUACACCUCAAAGAAUUAAGAAGAAAUGAUGUGUGGCGUGAUAGGAAAAAUAGAGAGAUAAGAAGAUAAAGUGAGUGAAAAUAAGUAUAAAGAAAAAGUGAAGUUUGAAUGUAUAAAAAUGAAAAGAAAAUUAAAUUAUUAUCCAACAGAAGUGCAUUCUGGUCAUUUCAGAUGGUGCUAAUAAUUUAGCUCAUGUCUAUGUCAAACGGCUCAGCACAAAGUCAAGUCAUGGUUUUUCUUCACUCCGUUGAUUUUCCUCCUUGGGUUUAGGCAGUUUGAACUUUGAAGUUCAAAGUCAUCAACAAAAAAUUGAAGGAUGCCAUUAUCUCAGUGCCGCUAUUGUAGUCAAUUGAACUGGCAAUGGGCUCAUGAUUCUUUGUUAUGAGAGUAAUGCAACCAAUGUUUUAUGACAGCAGAUAUGAAUUAAUUCAAUAAUUCAAUUUGAUAUGAAUUAUUUGCAAAAUUAUUCUUAAAAACAGGAUUUAUUUUUAAUUUAUUAAUUAAUUAUUUCUCUUGAAAAAAUAAGUUUUUAAAGUUAUUUCUGACAAUAGAAGAAGUUCUUAAAUUAAAAAACGUAACGUCUUAACUUGAAAAAAUCAAUUUUCCAAAGCAAAAACACUUUUAGAAAAUCAAUUUCUAACAAGAAAAUGUUAUAUUUUAUCAAGCAAGAGUUAUUCAUGUCAUUACAAAGCAAUGAAGACUUCAAAUAAGAAAUAAUUCUAAACUCUAACGUAAUUAAACAGUUAAGCUGCCUAAAAAAAUUACAAUUUAGUGAGUAUAAUAUGAAAAAUUUAGGUGUAAUUAGUUUUAGUGAAAUAGAAUCCUAAAUAUGCAGCACAGUUAUAAAAGCCGAAGAGUUAUUGAAACUUUUAAUUUGUAAGAAGCACUACAGAAAGCAACCCAUUUUCUUACAAUUUAGCUGCCACAAGCCAAGUUUUAGUGUUCCCAUAUGCAAACUGGAAUCCAAAAUGUGUAUAAGAAACUCAUCCAAUUGCAUGCUGAUGAUCAACUAAUAGAGUCUUACAAUAUACAACUAUAACAAGUGCUUAGAUGAGAUUGGGAGUAUGUAGAUCAUACCUUCAACACUUCAGAAGCAGUGCAGAACUUUAUGCGUACACAUCAUCUUUGACCACCUAUGGCAUUUAAUUUCCAACAAUUUCAGGACUGUCAAUGUCCACAAUCUUCACACCACGGCGCUUUCUUAUCAAUACAUUCAACCUCCUCUUAUGAACGCCUAAAAGCUUAAACCUCGAGGUCCUGCUUCCGUAUCUAAGCAACUUAACAUGACCUCCGAGUGAAGUUUCAGGGCUUACUGUUCCUACCCUUUUACCACUGUCUUUCACUUCAGACCUGUUAUGCAACUCUUGUUUUGGUUGGUUAACACGACAAAGCCGACCAAAAAAGUACAUGGGCUCAAUGUAGCAUUCGGAUGCAGAAACAAUGCCCUUGAUGCUGGUUGGUUUGGCAAGCUUGAUAAAAUCCUCAAUCUCGAAAUAAUUAGAGUGUUCAGAGUAGGGAACUGCAUACAUAUGCUGAUGAAUCUGUUCAAGAGGUCCUGUGUUUCCAAUUGGCUUGUCACUCUGGUCCUUACUAUUUUCACUCCAUUUGUCUCUCUUAUAACGUGAUGUCAAAAAGGAACCAGUGAGAAACUCACCCCUCUGAAUGUAUUUCCUUGCCCAUGGAAGACCAGAUGGCAAAAUUCCUAUAGUAGGGCGCCUUUGAUUCAGUGUCUCUAAAGUGUUAAUCUUUAAGCUACAUUGAGGAACAACUCUAACUCUAGUAAUAGUCGUGUCGGUUGUGAAUACAUCUGGGAGACCAAGAAUACGCAUAGUCCGCAAGCGCUCCGGCCACACACAAACCUUCAAUUGAAAAAACAAGAAAACCAGUGAAAUUGUGAAAAACUAACCAUUGAAUGCAAUAAAAUGGUAAGUCCAAAUAUAGCAACCAAAAAGAAAAAGCAAAAUCCUGUAUGAGAUCAAAACAUUACAAUAUAAUGCACAGAUAAAACAUAACACUCAAACCAAGCAUGUUCUGAUCAUAUGCUUCAUUUCUAAUGAUAUCAUCUACAGUUACAUAUACUAAGGUUGAAAUAAUAAAGCAUUAAUCUUCAGAGCAUAUUCGGAUGAACUACUUGAUAAGCACUAAUAAGGAAAAGAAGUUGAAACUAUCUUACAAUAACUAUGAUCCUUCUACAUAAUUGCUGCAUAAGUUAAAACCAAGUGUUACAAUUCAACUUUUGAAACUCUUCCUUAUCUAGAUUAUUCAUACUUAUCUCAAUUGAGAAGCUCUCACAGGUUAAAAGCCAGUCCAAACUGGGCCUUACAGACAUAAAAUAGGAAGAUCUAACUAGACUUAAUGGCAUGAAUUUUUCGCCAUUAUCCUCACAUAUCAUGAUAUCACAUAGAAGAAAACAACACAGGGACUAUUAGCAUGAUAAUAAUGACUUGAUUUUUUUGAACAGCUAAAGAAUGGUUCUGAAGAGACCUUAAUGUUAAGCUCCAUUGCAAUCUGAACCAAGAGAUCUUCUUUCCCCAAACUGUUAAUCCCAAUAAUGACAUCAUGAUCAGGAAGGGACUUAACUAAAUCAAUCACCUGAAAUCAUACACCAACCAAAUCAACCUAAGAAAAUAAGCAUUUCUGUGAAUCAAUUACGGGCUAAGGAUGCAUUAGGAGUUCGAAUUAGAGUGGUACCUUCCGCGCCGCGACUUGGCGAGAGGGAAAAUCAUAGGUAGGAUUAGCGUAGGUAUUAUCAAGGUAAAGAACAUCAACCCCAUCUUCACCACCAAGAGCAGCACGAAGCACCUGUUUAGCCAUCCUGGCUCUCUCGCAACCAAC